GAUGAACGCUGGCGGCGUGCCUAAUACAUGCAAGUCGAGCGAACGGACGAGAAGCUUGCUUCUCUGAUGUUAGCGGCGGACGGGUGAGUAACACGUGGAUAACCUACCUAUAAGACUGGGAUAACUUCGGGAAACCGUAGCUAAUACCGGAUAAUAUUUUGAACCGCAUGGUUCAAAAGUGAAAGACGGUCUUGCUGUCACUUAUAGAUGGAUCCGCGCUGCAUUAGCUAGUUGGUAAGGUAACGGCUUACCAAGGCAACGAUGCAUAGCCGACCUGAGAGGGUGGUCGGCCACACGGGAACUGAGACACGGUCCAGACUCCUACGGGAGGCCGCAGUAGGGAAUCCUCCGCGAUGGAGGAGAGCCUGACGGAGCAACGCCGCGUGAGUGAUGAAGGUCUUCGGAUCGUAAAACUCUGUUAUUAGGGAAGAACAUAUGUGUAAGUAACUGUGCACAUCUUGACGGUACCGAAUCAGAAAGCCACGGCUAACUACGUG
rnacentral:rRNA from 1 species